AGGGUUCGACUCCGGAGAGGGAGCCUGAGAAACGGCUACCACAUCCAAGGAAGGCAGCAGGCGCGAAAAUUACCCAAUUUUAGUUUAAAGAGGUAGUGACGAAAAAUGACAACCAAAUAUUAUUAUUAAUAUUUGGAUUGAAAAUCUUCAAGUUUAAAUAACUUGUUGGUAAAGGAAAGGGCAAGUCUGGUGCCAGCAGCCGCGGUAAUACCAGCUUUCCAAGUGCAUAAAAUGAUUGUUGUGGUUAAAAAGCUCGUAGUUGGAUUAUAAAGAUUGUGUAAUGAACAUCUUGGAUGUUUUUUCAUUACCAUCUUAUCAUUUUAUUAUAUUAGAAAUAAUAUAAUAACUGUUACUUUGAAUAAAUCAGAGGGUUCAAACCAGGCAUUAUAUGCUUGUAUGGUCUAGC
rnacentral:rRNA from 1 species